CACCCCAUACCCCCUCGUCAUCUCUUUCAUCAGACCCCUCCUCUUAUGAGCGCCGUCCUAAAAUCCACCAUUGCCGGUGGCGGCGCCACCUUCAAUCCCUCCCAAAUUAACACCCCAAUCUCCUCUCGUCCUCCCUGUCCCAUAUCUGAUAUUGGUUUUUCUCGAAUCGAACCAAAGCCUCUCGAAUCUUGAUUUUAAAGUCAGGUCCGAGUCUGAAAUUUGUCCAAACGAGCCCAAAUUGCUACCAGGUGGCUCACCGGUCUUCCUCACCUCGAAUCCAUGGUUAUUAUGCUUCAAAUCUCAGUGGUCCACCCUCAAUUCCACAUCUAGGGUUCAUUUUUUUGGCUUGGUUGAGGUGUCUUCUUUUAUGGUAAGUUCUUGUUAAUAUUAUGACUCUAAUUUAUUUAGUUUAAUAGUUUCAUCUUCUCCUUCUCCUUCUCCUUCUCCGUCGAUUGGGUCAGUUGUAGAAAUUGUUCUCAGUCACUACGUUUUCGUACCUGUUUAGGUCUGUUACGAUUAGUUGAUUUUUGUUUUACUCUUUAGUUAUUAGUUUAGCUCAGUUUGAUUGGCGGUAAGUUUAAAGUCUCUGAUUGUUGUUAUCUUAAUUAAUCAUUAGGAUUAGUUGUUUAUCGACCGAAUUUUAACGUCGUUCAUAGAUAAUAUUAGUCGAAUAGGUAGUGUUAAAUAAAUAUCAUGUUAGAUGCCUACUUGGGUUGUUCUAUUUCAGCUUUUAUGAUUAUCUAUAGUUCUCUAUUAGUUGAUUUUCAUAUUAAUUUCUGUCGUUUUCUUAAUUAGUUUGGGUUCGUUAGUUAAUUAGGCUGAUUGAAAUUUGGGAUUUGGAAUUGGUUUGAGAAUUGGUUUCAAUUAGGGCUAAUCUGUGCAUCUUAGUGUUAAUGAAAUAUUGUGUUUGGUUAUAGCUGAAUGAGCUCUCUAGUUGACUUCAGUCAGGUUUUAACUGGGGUAAAAGGGCUGAGGAUAAUCGAGGUUGGGAGGGUUAGUAAUUUCAGGGCUGUUUAAGGGUGUUUUCGGUAGUUUAAGUGGGGGAAUCUUUUUCUAACUGAAAGAGGAAGCUUCCAGUAGGGAUUUCAGGCCAAUUUCAGGUUUUUGAAGGGGUAAACUUGGGCCUCAAGUCAAUAGUGGGAGGACUAAGUAGCAAAACAUAAAAUACUAGAGGGAUUAAAGCUGUAAAUAAUGAGGGACUGAGAGUGCAAGCCUAAAAUCUGAGGGUUGCCCUAUUUUGCUCCUAUAAAAAGGGCAUUAGAUGGCUUGUAGAGGGGUCUUUAACCUUUAGCUGAAAAAAUUCACAGAAAUUCAGUUUCUCCUUUUAAGCUUCAAAUUAGUCUCUACAGUCAGAUAUACAAAAAUGCAAAAAAAAAAUACAUACAAAAAAUAGAAAACAACAAAAAAAAAAUUCAUUGUUUCAUUGGUUGUGGGUACAUUCUGGGUUUUCCUUUGGAGUUCUCCCUUAUAGCUUGGUUUGGGAUUUGUUUUGAAUUGGUUUUGGAGUUAUUUCUGCUGGUUUUUGAGGUUUCUCGUUGGAUUUCAAAGUUCUGGGUUGUUGUUCGGAAGUCCUGGGCUAUUUAGCGUAGCUGUUGAUUCUUUUGCAACUGUUGCUGCAUGACCUUCUUCUUCCUGCUGCUCUAUAAUUGCUGUUGACUAUCUUCUCUGUUGGGUUUCUAUUUCCAGGUACUGUUUUUUACUCAAUGACAUGUAGAUGUGAAUCGGAAGCUGAAAUAAGAAGUGAUUUGGAGUUUUAUAUGUUUUGAGUGUUUGUUCUUGACCGUUUCAUAGUUACAUUAGCAUUAUAACUUCAUUUGGCUUUAUAUGAAUUUAUUUGCAGUUGUAAAGUUGUAGAAUCAUGGUAAUGAUGGCCUGUUAAGUGGUUUGAAUAGGAAUCCUUGUCGAAGUAGUGAAGACUGAUUCACUGAAUGUCUGCUCUAGUUUGUUUAAGUUUGAACUUUACAAUUUUUAUUUGGACUUCUAUGUUAACUGUAGCUUUUGGGGCCAUGAAUUUUACAUGUAAACGUUAGCUGAAGAGUCGAGUUCUAGUGAUAGCGAGUCUGAAAUUGACAGAGUUUGUUAGUUAGUGAUUGUGGGUUUUAAUCUAUAUUUCUAGAAUUUCAAAAGUAGAACUUGGAUAAUAAUUAGAUUGUUUAGACUUGCUUAAUUAUGUGAAUCAAAAUCAGUAGAUGAAAUGAGACUUUAGGGUUUAUUGAAUUAGAAAUUAUUCUUGGUCAUCGUAUAAAGUAAUUUUCGUGAAUUGAUAUUGGAAUCAACAAGCCCCUUAAUUAACAGUUCAUUUGAUUAAGCAUAUAGAAUUGGGCUUAUUAUUGAACAUUGAUUUGGUAAUAAAAGCAGUUAGUACAGUUAGUGUAUUAAAUUCAGUAUUUUCAAUUAAUAGGGAAAUUAGUCUUUGAUAACCUAUUUGUGAAUAAACUCGUGGGAUGCCCCCUUAGUGUUGUUUGGGAAUCGAACAGAGCAUGGGAAUUGAGCUCUUUACGCCGACUGGGUUCGAACACAAGUCCUUGGGCCGGAGGCAGCUUCUUGUUACGCUUAUUUGGGGCCAACUUUUGGCCCAUGCGGAGUGAGUCUGCACUUCAAGGUUUAAAGAUUAGAAAUUUGGGUUUUUGGGUUAGGAUUUUUCCUUUAUUUUAGAAACCAAAAAUAGAAAAAUGUAGUUGCUUCUAGGUUGGCCUUUUAAUAAAUAAUGAGAUGAGUCUCGCGAAACAAAAUAAAAUUGUGGAGCCCUUAGUAAAUGAUUGUCGAAGUUUUAGAAUAUGGGAAGGCUGUUUGGCGAAUUUCACGGCCUUCUCCAAAAUAAUAAUACGCUAGAAUCUUUAGACGCGUUUUAAUUAAAGUACUUUCU
rnacentral:lncRNA from 1 species